GAAGGGCAUAGCCCUGGAUCACUUCGGUGGUUAGUUACUUUGUAUUAUCUUCUUCAAUCAUUCAAUGUAGUUACAUAUUUGCUUUCAUCACUUCAAUAAAAUUCAGUUGCUAUCAUUGGUCCGACCUGCUACUCUGCUCUACCACCACUCGAUCAUCAAUUCAACCAGAUCUAUUGAUUCACAGAUUUAAUCAGCUUUUUCUAGGGUUUCAAUCGUUUACAUCUCUAUCCAGUUUGUUUCAAUUUCCAAUUCUCAGAUCUCACUUUGAUUUCUACAUCCAGAUCUAUAAUUCCAAUUCCUUCCUCUGUUUUUUUCGACUCCAUCAUGGUGAAUCAAACCGCUCGAUUGGAUGCUCAUGAACAACAAAUUCAUCAAUUACAGUCUGAUAUCGGACCGAUUCCGUUGAAUUUCGUAAAGCUGUGUUAG
rnacentral:lncRNA from 1 species